AGUCGAACGCGAAAGCCCUUUCGGGGGCAAGUAGAGUGGCGCACGGGUGAGUAACACGUAGGUAAUCUACCUUCGGAUGGGGAAUAACAACCGGAAACGGUUGCUAAUACCGCAUAAUGCAGCGGCACCUAAUGGUGACAGUUGUUAAAGCGGGGGAUCGAAAGACCUCGCGUCUGAAGAGGAGCCUGCGGCGGAUUAGCUAGUUGGUAGGGUAACGGCCUACCAAGGCGACGAUCCGUAGCCGGCCUGAGAGGGCGGUCGGCCACACUGACACUGACAUACGGGUCAGACUCCUACGGGAGGCAGCAGUCGGGAAUUUUGGGCAAUGGGCGAAAGCCUGACCCAGCAACGCCGCGUGAAGGAUGAAAUCCCUCGGGAUGUAAACUUCGCAAGAACGGGAAGAAUAAGUCUGCGCGAACAUCGCAGGCGAUGACGGUACCGUUUGUAAGCUCCGGCUAACUCCGUGCCAGCAGCCGCGGUAAUACGGGGGGAGCAAGCGUUGUUCGGAUUUACUGGGCGUAAAGGGCGCGUAGGCGGCCACUGCAAGUCAAUUGUGAAAUCUCCGGGCUUAACUCGGAAAGGUCAACUGAUACUGCAGGGCUAGAGUGCGGAAGGGGCAACUGGAAUUCUCGGUGUAGCGGUGAAAUGCGUAGAUAUCGAGAGGAACACCUGCGGCGAAGGCGGGUUGCUGGGCCGACACUGACGCUGAGUGCGCGAAAGCUAGGGGAGCGAACGGGAUUAGAUACCCCGGUAGUCCUAGCCUUAAACGAUGAAUGCUUGGUGUCUGGGGUUUUAUAGU
rnacentral:rRNA from 1 species